AGAGUUUGAUUCUGGCUCAGGAUGAACGCUAGCUACAGGCUUAACACAUGCAAGUCGAGGGGCAGCAUGAUCGAAGCUUGCUUUGAUUGAUGGCGACCGGCGCACGGGUGAGUAACGCGUAUCCAACCUUCCCUAUAGUAGAGAAUAGCCCGGCGAAAGUCGGAUUAAUGCUCUAUGUUGUAUUUAGAGGACAUCUGAAGAAUACCAAAGGUUUACCGCUAUAGGAUGGGGAUGCGUCUGAUUAGGUAGUAGGCGGGGUAACGGCCCACCUAGCCGACGAUCAGUAGGGGUUCUGAGAGGAAGGUCCCCCACAUUGGAACUGAGACACGGUCCAAACUCCUACGGGAGGCAGCAGUGAGGAAUAUUGGUCAAUGGACGGAAGUCUGAACCAGCCAAGUAAGCGUGCAGGAUGACGGCCCUAUGGGUUGUAAACUGCUUUUAUAUAGGGAUAAAGUCGGGGACGUGUCCCCGUUUGUAGGUACUAUAUGAAUAAGGACCGGCUAAUUCCGUGCCAGCCGCCGC
rnacentral:rRNA from 1 species